CUCCGAGACAAGCGGUGCUGUUUGCGAUGUCUUUCUGCAAAAACCAGUCUCCGAAGACCUCGGGCUGACAGGGCCACUUUGAUGGGACUGAGCAUGAAAGCACAGACAAUAGGACUCACAGGAUUUUUAUAUCUCGCUGCAAGCAAGCCUCCAGCAAGCCUCCACAUGGAACCAAUAAUGAAUGCACUAUUGUUAUUAUGCAGAAGUUAAACAAGG